rnacentral:rRNA from 3 species
UCGCCGCCUGUGACUCGGCGAGAAGUCCAUUGAACCUUAUCAUUUAGAGGAAGGAGAAGUCGUAACAAGGUUUCCGUAGGUGAACCUGCGGAAGGAUCAUUG